AUUGAACGCUGGCGGCAGGCCUAACACAUGCAAGUCGAACGGUAACAGGAAGCAGCUUGCUGCUUCGCUGACGAGUGGCGGCCGGGUGAGUCAUGUCUGGGAAACUGCCUGAUGGAGGGGGAUAACUACUGGAAACGGUAGCUACUACCGCAUAACGUCGCAAGCCCAAAGAGGGGGACCUUAUGGCCUCUUGCCAUCGGAUGUGCCCAGAUGGGAUUAGCUAGUAGGUGGGGUAACGGCUCACCUAGGCGACGAUCCCUAGCUGGUCUGAGAGGAUGACCAGCCACACUGGAACUGAGACACGGUCCAGACUCCUACGGGAGGCAGCAGUGGGGAAUAUUGCACAAUGGGCGCAAGCCUGAUGCAGCCAUGCCGCGUGUAUGAAGAAGGCCUUCGGGUUGUAAAGUACUUUCAGCGGGGAGGAAGGGAGUAAAGUUAAUACCUUUGCUCAUUGACGUUACCCGCAGAAGAAGCACCGGCUAACUCCGUG
rnacentral:rRNA from 1 species